AUGGAGAAGAACUCCCACUUCAAGGACUUGCAAGCGCUUGGCCCCCUGGAAAUCAUCCGUGCCCAGCUGGAGGUGGAAGGUAGCUUCGACGAUGCAGUUUCUGGCUGCGAAUACGCCUUCCUUGUCGCUGCUUCAAUGAACUUCAGGUCAGAAGAUCCUGAGAGAGAUCUGAUUGAACCCGCCGUCCAAGGAACACUCAACGUGAUGAGGUCGUGCGUGAGAGCAGGGACAGUGAAGCCGGUGAUCCUAACAUCGUCGGACGCCGGCGUGUCCAGGAGGCCGCUGCAGGGCGGCAGCCACGUGUUGGACGAGGGCUCCUGGUCAGACGUCGAAUACCUCAGAGCCAAUAAGCCACCAACUUGGGCCUACGCGGUCUCCAAGGUGCUUCUAGAGAAGGCGGCGAGUGAAUUCGCAGAGGAGAACAACAUCAGCCUUGUCACCGUGUUGCCGGUGUUCACCGUGGGCACGGCGCCUGUAUCUAACGCCGGAACCAGCGUUCCCGUCAUCCUCUCCAUGUUGUCCGGCGACGAGGCAAAGCUGCAUGGCCUGAUGGUCCUGCAAUCAGUCAAGGACUGCGUGGGGAUUAGCCACGUCGACGACCUCUGUCGCGCCCAGGUGUUCGUCGCGGAGAAUGAGUCCUCGUCGGGUAGGUACAUCUGCUGCAAUCACAACACUACUGUCUUGCAGCUCGCCAGUCUCCUGGCAGAGAAGUACCCACAAUACAACGUGAAACCUGUACGCUUUGAUGGAUCCUGCAAGAAGCCAAGAGUGUGUGUCUCAUCAAAGAAACUCAUCGGGGAAGGGUUCGUGUACAAGUAUGAUGACCUGGGUGAAAUCUUCGAUGACCUCGUCAAGAAUGAAAAGGAUCUUCACGCACCGGAUCGUCUAUUGCUCAUUGUUAUCAUUGACUGGGCAUACGGGGUGUCGAAGGUGCUUCUGGAGAAGGCAGCGAGCCAAUUUGCAGAGGAGAAUGGCAUCAGCCUCGUCACCGUGUUGCCGGUGUGCACAUUGGGCGCGGCGCCGGUCUCCAAAGCAAGAUCCAGCGUUCCGGCCGUCCUCUCCUUGUUGUCCGGUGACGAGGAGCAGCUGGCCAUCCUGGAAGGCGUGCAGUUAGUCACCGGUUCUAUGUCGAUAGUCCACGUGGAGGAUGUCUGUCGCGCCGAGGUGUUCGUGGCGGUGAACGAGUCCUUAUUUGUUGGAUGCCCUACGGAACCGAGAGUGUGCAUGUCGUAUCAGAAGCUCGUUGGAGAAGGGUUUAUCUUCAAGCACGAGAGCCUAGGUGAGAUAUUCGACGACGUUGUCGAGUACGGUAGCACCACAGGGAUUUUGCGUGAUUGA
rnacentral:rRNA from 1 species